ACGCCGAUGGGCUAAUGGUUAUCAUCCUUGCCUUCCAAGCAAGCGGUGGGGGUUCGAUUCCCCCUCGGUGUA
rnacentral:tRNA from 1 species